AUGUCGGUUGUUAUUCCAUGGGUGAUGGAGUUGCCAUGGGGGCCUCCCAGACAGGGGAGGAGGAGGACUGGAUAUGCAUAAAUAUCUCUGCUUAUUUCCCCAGGGUCUAUAAGAGGCCAAGAGAAGGUGUUCUUAUCCACCAGGGAUCUGGGCAGCUCUCCUCUUCCCAGUGUGGCCUGUUGGGGCAGAGCAAGCUGUGUCCCUGAGGAUUGCCCUCCAGCUUCUAGGCUGGAGAUCAUGGCACCAUCGUGGCACUGAUUUGCGGGAAUGCCGGCAAAGUUAUGGAAGACUUUUUGACAUUCAUGGAGGAGAUUUACUUUUUGUGCGAGCAAUGCCAUAGGGUACAGACAGCCACGGAAGAAGCACUCACUUCUGAGGUAGCUGUAAAAAUGGCCACGAUUCUUCCCAUCUCAGUAUGUACGCACCCAUGCAAUGUGACGUUGGAGGUUCUUCCAUGCAAAGGUGAAGUCUGUUUCUCUACCAUUUGAAUCUGGAUUGGCCAUGUGUCUGGCUUUGGCCACACAGGCAUUAACAAACUUGUGCACGGUGACUUGCCCUCUUACUACUUUUGGAAAUAUGCACUUACUCUCAUGUGUGUGAGCCCCAAACAGCCUGUGAAAAGUUGA